rnacentral:rRNA from 1 species
GAAGCAACGCGCAGAACCUUACCAGCCUUUGACAUGCCUAGUAUGGUUUCCAGAGAUGGAUUCCUUGUCUUCGGACGCUAGGACACAGGUGCUGCAUGGCUGUCGUCAGCUCGUGUCGUGAGAUGUUGGGUUAAGUCCCGCAACGAGCGCAACCCUCGUCCUUAGUUGCCAGCAUUAAGUUGGGCACUCUAAGGAAACCGCCGGUGAUAAGCCGGAGGAAGGUGGGGAUGACGUCAAGUCCUCAUGGCCCUUACAGGCUGGGCUACACACGUGCUACAAUGGCGGUGACAGUGAGCAGCUAGCCCGCGAGGGUAUGCUAAUCUCUAAAAGCCGUCUCAGUUCGGAUUGUUCUCUGCAACUCGAGAGCAUGAAGGCGGAAUCGCUAGUAAUCGCGGAUCAGCAUGCCGCGGUGAAUACGUUCCCAGGCCUUGUACACACCGCCCGUCACGCCAUGGGAGUUGGUUUCACCCGAAGGUGGUGUGCUAACCUGCUGCAGGAGGCAGCCACCCUCGUGU